rnacentral:lncRNA from 1 species
ACCGCAGCCCAUCGCUGUAGCCGGCCUGGUAGCAGGGGCACGGCCGGCAGCAGCAAGCCGGAGGCGGUUCUGGGAUCUUUGGCCGGCACGGUUCGGGUGGUGGCGGAGCCGGUGCGGGCGGAGGUGGAGGAGCCGGUUCGGGAGGAGGUGGCGGCGGCGGAGCCGGUUCGGGAGGAGGUGGUGGCGGUGGCGGCGGAGCCGGUUCGGGCGGAGGAGGGGGCGGUGGAGCCGGUUCGGGCGGAGGCGGGGGCGGUGGAGCCGGUUCCGGAGGAGGCGGGGGCGGCGGAGCCGGUUCGGGCGGAGGCGGUGGCGGAGGUGGGGGUGGUUCGGGCGGCUUGAUUUUGAUGUCUUUGAUGACCUUGCAGGCCUUGCACCGGAGCUUCUUGGAGAGGCAGUGAGGGUCGAAGGGGCCGGA